UAUAUGCAUAUUCUAGCAUAUGGGCCUGAGAAAUAUGCCGUUUACAUUGGGAACAUUAUUUUUCCAAACAUAAAAAUAGUGGCCCCUAGCUGAAAGAAGUUAACCAAUAAAGCAGCUAACCCAACCCAACUCUGGUGUAGCUCCCAGACCCAACCCAUCUGUAUGUCUACAGUGGAAUCUAGUCUUUCUCUCUCUCAUUAGCUCCGCUUCCUCUGUCAGUCAUGGCGUCUUCAAGUUCACCCAUUAUGCAGCUGGACCUCACGCGGGAGAACUGUGAACCCACCAAGAAGAGACAUGAAAAUCUUUAUCGCUACAGGUGCUGUAAGGAGUACUGUGUGUGGACCAGACCAACGCUGGCUUCAACACCCCCGCCUGGUGUAUCUUGAUGUACACUCAAUUUCCAGAAUUCAGCCCAUUCCCUCUGUUAUCUCCUGCUGCUCAUGUGCUGCUUUCACCUGAGGAUAUACAUACUGCAAUGCAUGGGUCAUUUCCUGAAAACAUAGACUCUCCCAUUAUGGCAAGAUCACUAAUUUUACACCUGAAUAACAGCCCCUGGUAUUUCCAUCGGUGUCCCAGUUACCAGCUACCAAGCCAUUUGACCUUAAUUUAUGAGCCCCCACAGAUCUCCACCCCAGUCACAUUCCAUCCCACUUAACAGCCCUAUGUAAACAUUCUAUCUCAAACACAGGCCUCAUGUGUACCUCGCCUCCUGCUACAGAUACAUUUGCGCAUAUAUCAUUCCAUCUAACCCAUAACACAAUAGUCACUACUCCUAAUGCACUUCUAAAGUUAUAAACAUACUAAAUCAUUCUCACAUCAAUUAGUCAAUAUAGAUCAGUCCCUCCUUUGUAAUAAUGAUCACUCUUAUGUUCCACGAAACCUAAAAACAUUUUUACUUAAACAGGAAAGAGAAAAUGUACAUAUUUAAUAAUUUCACACCACCCUUGAUGCGACUAAAACUGGGGAAAGAUUCAUCCAUCCGUUACAUUCUAUGCCCAUGUGAUACUGGUUUCCAUACCCGUCUCCUUCAUUUUCAUGUGUGUUAACGCAAAACACAGACUCUGCCUUGUAUGCAAUUAAUUGUACCGUAUCAUCCAGCAAUCUCUGUGUUGAUGCGUUUUGAAAUUAAAAUUCUGAUGACAUGGUAAAAAAAAUACAAAAAAAUACAAAAACUUAAUGUUUCUACCAAGCUGUCAUCCAGUGAGUUCUCAAAUAACCUCCCUGUCAGAGGACACCUACAUAUAAUGUUUCUAGAGCCUCCCUAGGCCUAAUAAAUCUGAGCAGUAACCCCACCCCUCACCGUUAGAUAGCAACUCUCAUUCGCUGUAUCCAAAUCAUAACCGAAACAUUUUAUACAUUAUCCAACUCAAAUUUAGAAUGACAGUCCUUUGUGCUUUUCUUUGAGUAUGACUUGAAUUCAAGCUUCUCAACCUAGCACACAUCAUCCUAGUUAGAAUGUAAAUGUAUAAACAGGACAUUUUAUUGCCGGUAAUAACUCUUCUCAUGACAACACCCCUUUGUCCCUGUUUUCCUGUUGUGAGGUGCAUGGUAAUGAAAGAUUGGUAUUUCAAUGCAUUCUUAGUCUAAAUUGUUUGCAGUGUGUAGAUCUUCCUCGAUACCACCACCCCUCCUCCUGGCACUUCCUCCUUCCCAACGGCACAUAUCUAUGUAAGACUUGCCUGUCACAUUUGAUGGCCCUUGGUAAUGUCUUGAUUUUAAUACCAAGUAAUCAGUUUUUCCCACAUACACGAGUUUCACCUGAGCCACUACCACCAUUCUGUCUGGUUCAUUUCUCCCACAAUGUUAUCUCUUUCCAUGCUCACUCCACAUGUGAGGUCUCAGGACUCAGAUUGGAUUGUUAACUUCUUUGGGACUGGGGGGCAGUAUUGAGUAGCUUGGAUGAGUAAGGUGCCCAGAGUAAACUGCCUGCUACUCAGGCCCAGUUGCUAAAAUACGCAUAUUAUUAGUAUAUUUGGAUAGAAAACACUCUGAAGAUUCUAAAACUGUUUUAAUGAUGUCUGUGAGUAUAACAGAACUCAUAUGGCAGCUAAAAACCUGAGAAAAAAAUCCAACCAGGAAGUGGGAAAUCUGAGGUGUGUAGUUUUUCAAGUCAAUGCCUAUCGAAUAUACAGUGUAGACAUAUGGGGUCAUAUUGCACUUCCUAAGGCUUCCACUAGAUGUCAACCUUCUUUAGAACCUUGUUUGAUGCUUCUACUGUGAAGGAGGGGGGGAAUAAGAGCUGAAUGAGUCAGGGCUCUGCCAGAGUGCCAUGAGCUGAUCAUGCGCGCUCACGUGAGAGCGACCUGCGUUCCAUCGCAUUUCUACAGACAAUGGAAUUCUCAGAUGGGAAUAUUAUUGAAGAGUUAUGUUAAAAACAUCCUAAAGAUUGAUUCUGUACAUCGUUUGACAUGUUUAUACGAACUGUAAUAUGACUUUUCGUCUGAACUUUCGCCUGGACUUUCCCGCGCCUCGUGAGUUUGGAUUGUGUACUAAACACGUGAAUUAAAGAGGAGGUAUAUGGACAUAAAUUAUGGACUUUAUCGAACAAAUCAAACAUUUAUUGUGGAACUGGGAUUCCUGGGAGUGCAUUCUGAUGAAGAUCAUCAGAGGUAAGUGAAUAUUUAUAAUGCUAUAUCUGACUUCUGUUGACUCCACAACAUGGCGGAUAUCUGUAUGGCUUGUUUUGUUGUCUGAGCGCUUUACUCAGAUUAUUGCAUGGUGUGCUUUUUCAGUAAAGUUUUGUUGAAAUCUGACACAGCGGUUGCAUUAAUGCAUCAUAUGAAAGGAUAGAUGUUGGGGUAAUUGUACUCUGCCAAUCAGGUGAUGUGCCUAUCAGGUGGCAAUGGAGGAGAUGGGGAACAAAGUGAAAAUGACAUGGCUUGGGAACACCUCUCGGAUCCUGGGGCCGGAAAGGGGAAGACUGGGCGAAAGCUUAAGGUGGCUUUUUAGGGCUUUCAUUGUUGUGGAAUGCAGCAGAAAGUAUCCUGGAGGCAUUGAGUCAGGAACCAGAAGAGGAACACUGAACUGGAAGAAGUCAACAGAUCCAUUGGACACGUUAUUAUCAGUGUACUAUGAGAAAUGGAAAUAAGAGUGUGCAUGGUGUGACUAUAGAACAGAGGCCUUAAGUCUCUGAGUUUGUAAACCUCAAUGUUAAUCAUGUUUUAUCCUUUGUUCAUGUUUUGUUAUCCUACUGUAAGUUGAACAGUAGGAAGCUAUUGUUCAAGAGGGGGGACUGUUGGGUUCUGAGAAUAUGAAAUAUACUUAUUCAUGUCACUGGGGGAGAGAGGGUAAUGUAUAACGUUUACAUUAUGUCAGGAUAUGUUAUUGUUAGCUAUCAGGCAUCUUAUGGUAGGGAUCCUCUGGGACGAGAAGAGACACAGUCUGGUACCAGUCCCCAUGACAGCCUUGAGUUGGGGAGGAGUGGGCACUUUGGGGCAGAAGUCAGGUCAGAUGAAGUGAGGAAGAACAGAUAUCACUAAGGUUAUUUAUAGCAACAGAGAUGCAUUGGUUGUUUAGGGGUGUAGGAGGAGACUCAGCAUAGGAGAUAGAGUUAAAUAUCAAUGCUUGUGUGAAAUGUCGUUGUCUACUGCAGCUGUAUUAACCCUCUGGGAAGAAUAAACUUGGUUUGAGCUUU